CAAUAAAUAUAUACAAGUAAUAUAAUAAAAGAAAUUUAACAUAAAGAAAGGAGUAGAUAGACUCGAUCAAGAAAAGAGCAGAUUUUUUUCGACAUAGCAAUAAAUGCAAUUAAUGUUGCAUGAAGUGGGUGAUCAGAGUGAUUUCAUUCUCUCUGCUAAAAGAAUAUUUGGGGGAUUUUAUUUAACCACUUGUUAUACUCCUAUAUAUAUAUAUAUAUAUAUAUAUAUAUACUUACCAACCAAUCAUCACUUUCACUACCCCACCACCAAUCAAACAACCCACCCCUCUGAAUUACUCCCUUCAAAGCAGAAAAAAAAAAGAAGAAGAAAGAGGAAGUAACCUUCACAGUAGAAAGCUUGCAGUAAAGUAUUUCUCUAGCACCUAAAAAGGUUGAGUCGUGGAAAGGGGGAGGGACAAGUGCUGUAGAAAGCAAGCUAGUAACUAACUAUGAAUAAAACUCUCGGAGGUUCAUGUCUCCACACAUGGACCGCGUUCUUUUGUUUCCGCUAUGCCGGUUAAAAGGAAAUGCCUAUUUUACUUUUGACUCUGAUAAACAGGAGUUGUAUAAACAGUCACUCGAUUCUAUAUAAUCGAGUGUAUUUCGUUAUAAGUAUUUUCCCUGUUUGACUUUA